AUUGAACGCUGGCGGCAUGCCUAACACAUGCAAGUCGAACGGUAACGCGGGGGCAACCCUGGCGACGAGUGGCGGACGGGUGAGUAAUACGUAGGAAUCUGCCCAUUUGUGGGGGAUAACCCGGCGAAAGCCGGGCUAAUACCGCAUACGCUCUACGGAGGAAAGCGGGGGAUCGUAAGACCUCGCGCUAAUGGAUGAGCCUACGUCGGAUUAGCUAGUUGGUAGGGUAACGGCCUACCAAGGCGACGAUCCGUAGCUGUUCUGAGAGGACGAUACGCCACACUGGGACUGAGACACGGCCCAGACUCCUACGGGAGGCAGAAGUGGGGAAUAUUGGACAAUGGGGGCAACCCUGAUCCAGCAAUGCCGCGUGUGUGAAGAAGGCCUGCGGGUUGUAAAGCACUUUCAGAGGGGAAGAAAAAAUCGGAGCUAACACCUCCGAGCUUGACGUUACCCUUAGAAGAAGCACCGGCUAACUCCGUGCCAGCCGCCGCCGUAAAAC
rnacentral:rRNA from 1 species